GGGGGAUAUUGCGCAAUGGGGGAAACCCUGACGCAGCAACGCCGCGUGAAGGACGAAGGUUUUCGGAUCGUAAACUUCUUUGACCGGGGACGAAGAAAUGACGGUACCCGGGGAACAAGCCACGGCUAACUACGUGCCAGCAGCCGCGGUAAUACGUAGGUGGCGAGCGUUGUCCGGAUUUACUGGGUGUAAAGGGCGCGUAGGCGGGGCGGCGAGUCCGAUGUGAAAUCCCGCGGCUUAACUGCGGAACUGCAUCGGAAACUGCCGUCCUUGAGUAUCAGAGGGGAAAGCGGAAUUCCUAGUGUAGCGGUGAAAUGCGUAGAUAUUAGGAGGAACACCGGUGGCGAAGGCGGCUUUCUGGCUGAAAACUGACGCUGAUGCGCGAAAGCGUGGGGAGCAAAC
rnacentral:rRNA from 1 species